ensembl:lncRNA
GUUCCUUUAGGUGUGGGUUUCCGCCCACCUCCCCAGGGGAAUUUUGGGAGGGUAAAUAACCGGUUCUGUCUUCAUUCCUGUGAACCUUUUACCUGUUUUCCAGGUUACUGCUCAAGUUUAUUGCAGAAAUGCAGAGUAAACAUUAAAGAGGGAGACACCGGACCUGUAACACUAACCACUAAGCCGCUGUGCAGCCCUACCAAGAAAAUCAUUGUAUUUGCAGCAAAUUUGCUCCAAACAGUGACCUGCAGUAAACCUGCCAUCAGUUUUCCACAAAGUUUGAGGUCUAGUCCACCAGAAUUCCAGGGCAAGUUUGCCACAGAUGUAAUUUGCACAUGAAAUUUGCAGCAACAUUGCGAAAGAUUGAGCAUAAAUGUCUUCUAGAAACUGUUACUGCCAGUAAAACUAUCUCUGGAACCACAUACUGACGUGUUUGUUACUAAUGUCGAACUCACCGGAAGUUUAUAUAGGAAGUUUAGUGGGAAACAACUCAUUAUUGCCGGGAUGUUUCUGGAAGUUUGGCAAACUUGUGGCAACAUUUUCUGGAAGACUAAUUGUUUUGCUGCAAAUCAACCACAAGUUUGCGGCAAAUCUGUUUCAAACAUUCAGCUUUUUUGAUAAAUAUCCUCACUGCCU